CCUACGGGAGGCAGCAGUGGGGGAUAUUGCACAAUGGGGGAAACCCUGAUGCAGCGACGCCGCGUGGAGGAAGGAGCGUUUCGGCUCGUAAAGCCCUAUCGGCAGGGAAGAUAAUGACGGUAUCUGACCAAUAAGCCCCGGCUAACUACGUGCCAGCAGCCGCGGUAAUACGUAGGGUGCAAGCGUUAUCCGGAUUUACUGGGCGUAAAGGGGGCGCAGACGGCAAAGCAAGCCAGAAGUGAAAGCCCGGGGCCUAACCCCGGAACUGCUCUUGGAACUGCAAGGCUGGAGUACGGGAGGGGCAGGUGGAAUUCUUAGUGUAGCGGUGAAAUGCGUAGAGAUUAGGAGGAAUAC
rnacentral:rRNA from 1 species